GACGAACGCUGGCGGCGUGCCUAACACAUGCAAGUCGAACGAAGUGGCGAACGGGUGAGUAACGCGUAAUCAACCUGCCCUUAAGAGGGGGACAACAGUUGGAAACGACUGCUAAUACCGCAUACUGUAGGGAGGGAUUGAGUCUGAUUAGCUGGUUGGCGGGGGAACGGCCCACCAAGGAGAUGAUCAGUAGCCGGUCCGAGAGGAUGGACAGGCAAAUUUGGACUGGAAACCGGGCCAGACUCCGACGGGAGGCAGCAGGGGGGAAUCGUCCGCCAUGGAGGAAAGUCUGACGGAGCAACGCCGGGGGAGAGGUGACGGCCUUCGGGUUGUAAAGCUCUGUUAAUCGGGACGCGGUACCGGAAUAGAAAGCCACGGCUAACUACGUGCCAGCAGCCGCGGUAAUAC
rnacentral:rRNA from 1 species